rnacentral:rRNA from 1 species
AGCGAACGUUAGCGGCAGGCCUAACACAUGCAAGUCGCGCGAGAAUUGGGCUUCGGCCCAUAGUAAAGCGGCGGACGGGUGAGUAACACGUGGAUAAUCUGCCCUUCGGCGGGGGACGACAUUCCGAAAGGAUUGCUAAUACCGCAUUCGUCAGCGAGGUCUUCGGACCUUGUUGGGAAAGAUGGCCUCCUCCUGAUAGCCAUUACCGAAGGAUGAGUUCGCAUCCCAUCAGCUAGUUGGCGGUGUAAGAGACCACCAAGGCUUAGACGGGUAGGUGGUCUGAGAGGAUGAUCAGCCACACUGGAACUGAGACACGGUCCAGACUCCUACGGGAGGCAGCAGUGGGGAAUAUUGGGCAAUGGGCGCAAGCCUGACCCAGCCAUGCCGCGUGAGUGAUGAAGGCCUUCGGGUCGUAAAGCUCUGUGGGGAGGGAAGAACAACCUUGUGGCUAAUAUCCACGAGGCUUGACGGUACCUCCUUAGCAAGCACCGGCUAACUCCGUGCCAGCCGCCGCAGUAACAC